rnacentral:lncRNA from 1 species
CGAGAACAGAGGACAAGGGGGCAUCACUGCACUGCCAUUGCCACAAGGGGGCAGCCACGCACAGGGCCAGGCUCGGGAUGGAAGUGUAUCUGCCACUACCAGGGAGAACUGAGGAGCCUGCGUCUCCUCACUGGCUAGACAGGAACAAUAGAUAUGGACACCUCAUAGAGUUGCCUUGAGAGCACAAGUGAGCUGAUGUUCUCUCAGGAGUGAGAGUUCCCUUCUGCUUGUCUGAACUAAACUGACAACAGCUAACAUGUAUUGAGCAGCUGCGAUGCAUUGGGCAUCUCCUCUGAGCACUGUUUGCAUGAACAUUUUGGGGCUCAGAACACAAUUCCAAAGCAUGGCGCCGGGGCCAGCAGAGAGCUUUGAACUAACGGAAAUUGGAAGGCCUCAGAAGCAAAGUUUUUCUGCCCUUCUGCUGCCCUCCUGUCUCUGGCCCUUCUUCUCCCCCAGAGUGAGUCAGAGAAACCAGAAUUCUUCUUCCCCAAGGCAGGUCACAGAGACCAGAACCCCUCUCCCUCAAAGCAAGCCAUAAAACUAGGCAGGUCACUCUCUCCCUUCUGUCUUGAAGACCAUUCCAGAGGGGUAGGAAGGAACACUGCAGAGAGAGGCCAAGAAGAAUCUGAGCAGAUAGCCUUCCUGGGUCCCCUCGGCCUAUCACCAUUAGAUCACACCCUUUGUCCAAUCGCAUUUCUACAAGCUUGUGCACUCUUUACCAAGCCUGAGUAUAAAAACAGAUAGCUGGCUGAGUGUGGUGGCUCACGCCUGUAAUCCCAGCACUUUGGGAGGCCGAGGUGGGUGGAUCACCUGAGGUCAGGAGUUCGAGACUAGCCUGGCCAACACGGCGAAACUCCAUCUCUACUAAAAAUACAAAAAAUUAGCUAGGCAUGGUGGCGGGCACCUGUAGUCCCAGCUACUUGGUAGGCUGAGGCAGGAGAGUUGCUUGAACCCAGGAGGUGGAGGGUCCAGUGAGCCGAGAUCACGUCAUUGCACUCCAGCCUGGGCAACAGAGUGAGACUCUGUCAAAAAACAAACAAACAAACAGGCCAGGCGUGGUGGCUCAUGCCUGUAAUCCCAGCACUUUGGGAGGCAGAGGGGGGCGGAUCACCUGAGGUUGGGAGUUUGAGACCAGCCUGACCAACAUGGAGAAACCCCAUCUCUACUGAAAAUACAAAAUUAGCCAGGCAUGGUGGUGCAUGUCUGUAAUCCCAGCUGCUCGGAAGGCUGAGGCAGGAGAAUCGCGUGAACCCAGGAGGCAGAGGUUGAGGUGGGCCGAGAUCACGCCACUGCACUCCAGCCCGGGCAACAAGAGCAAAAUUCCGUUUUAAAAUAAAUAAAUAAAUAUAAUUAAAAUAAACAAAUUCUAACAAACAAAAAACCAAAAAAACAAAAAAACCUCUUUCCCUGGGGUUUGGGGUCUUCAUUUCUUUCUUUUUUUAAAGAGAUGGGGGUCUCACUAUAUUGGCCUUGCUGGUAUUGAAUUCCUGGACUCAUGUAAUCCUCCUGUAUCAGCCUCCCAGGUAGCUGGGGCUAAGGGUCCUCAUUUCUUUUCUUUUCUUUUCUUUUCUUUUUUUUUUUUAGUGACGGAGUCUUGCUCUGUCCCCGCCCUCAGGCUGGAGUACAGUGGCACCAUCUCAGCUCAUUGCAACCUCCGUCUCCCAGGUUCAAGUGAUUCUCCUGGCUUAGCCUCCCGAGUAGCUGGGAUUACAGGCGCGUGCCACCACGCCCAGCUAAUUUUUGUAUUUUUAGUAGAGACAGGGUUUCACUAUGUUGGCCAGGUUGGUCUUGAACUCCUGACCUCAGACGAUCCGCCUGCCUCGGCCUCCCAAAGUGCUGGUAUUACAGGUGUGAGCCACCGUGCCUCACCUGAGCGUCUUCAUUUCUGAAAGCUCCCAUGUUGCGUAAAAUUUUGAUUAAACACAUUUGUUCUGCUUUUUUGUUACCCUGUGUCUGGUUAUAGGAGUGUCAGCCAUGACCCUUAUAAUGAGUGAGGGAAAAGUACCACACAGUUCUGCCCUACAAUUUUUUUUUUUAGACGGAGUCUUGCUCUGUCGCCCGGCUGGAGUGCAGUGGCGCAAUCUCAGCUCAAUGCAACCUCCAUCUCCCAGAUUCAAGCGGUUCUCUUGCUUCAGCCUCCCGAGUAGCUGGGACUACAGGCACCCGCCAUCCAUGCCCGGCUAAUUUUUUUUGUAUUUCUAUUAGAGACGGGGUUUCACCAUGUUGGUCAGGCUGGUCUCAAAUCCUGACCUCAAGUGGUCCACCUGCCUCGACCUCCCUAAGUGCCCUACAAACUAUAGUCCCAUACCUUACUACAACCCUAUGAGACAGGUAUUAUUAAUAACCCCGCUUUACAAAUGAGGGAACUGAGGCAAAAAGAACUUAAAUAGAUGGGCAAGGCCUCCCAGCUUGUAAGACGGAGUCAGGAUCUAAAGUCAGCCAGCUCUGAGGCUGAUGCUCCUAACCGCUAUCUGCUGCCCUCCUUGUGAGAAAUCCUGUCUUUGGCUUAGGUCAGUUCAAAGUGUUUCUAUCAUUUACAACCAGAAAAGCCUUCAGUGAGACUGUCUCAUUUUUUCCCAACUCUUCCACUUUUCAAAGAACCCCUCCAGGGCUCCCUCCUGCAGAGAACAGGACUAGGCAGCACUGGCCCAGAAGUGGAGCAGUAAGAAGGUGGGGAACGGGGGGAGGGAGAGGAGGAGAAGGAGGAAGAGGAAGAGGGAGAGGAGGAGGAGGAAGGGGAGGGGGAGGAGGAGGAGUAGCAGUAGUAGGAGGAGGAGGAAGAGGAGGGAGAGGAGGAGGAAGAGGAGGGGUAGGAGGAGGAAGAGGAGGAAGGAGGAGGAAGAGGAGGAGGAAGAGGAGGAAGAAGAGGAGAAAGGAGGAGAAGAAGGAAGAGGAUCAGGAAGAGGAGGAGGAGGAAGAGGAGGAGGAAGAGAAGGAAGAGGAGGAGGAGGAAGAGGAGAAGAAGGAAGAGGAGGAGGAAGAGAAGGAAGAGGAGGAGGAAGAGAAGGAAGAGGAGGAGGAAGAGAAGAAGGAAAAGGAGGAAGAGGAGGAGGAGGAAGAGGAGCAGAAGAAGGAAGAGGAGGAGGAAGAGGAAGAAGAGGAGAAGGAGAAAGAAGAGGAGGAGGAAGAGGAAGAGGAGGAGGAAGCUGGACUUGACACUGAGACACACAUACCCUAACUCCUCCAGUGGCUGGAACCCUGAGAAGUAACCUGGGAGCCAUAGCUAGCCACAUUCCCUACCAUGCGGCAGGGGGAAGAGCAGUCUGUGCAGAGGGAACACAGAGGGAGGCAGGGUAGAGCAGCGAGGAGGGAAGGAGGGACCUCUGCACCGUGCUUAUCUAUAGUUCUAGCACCUUGGUCUAACUUGGCUGCCCGUGGGCACCACAAGACACCUCGAUAUCUGUAGAACACAUUUUCUUCCUUGCUGGAGCCAGCCCGCCUGGGCUUCUGUUAUGUGCAGCAGAAUCCUAACCCGCCCAGAAGGCUCAAUGGCUGUGUGCUGAAUCAAUGCUUUGCAGUCCUCCCCCGAUCCCUGAAGAUGGCAGGAGUGGGAUGUGGCACAGUCAAGUGACUAUGAGUGCAGGUCAGGGCAGCAGCCUCUCCAGACCUUCCCAGUGAGGCUGCCCAGGUCCUGGGGCAGAACGUGUUUGAGGGGCUUCUCAUUAAUCUGUCAGGAAAGAUGACGUGCUGACCUGCAGGCUGACCUGGGAGGGGUACCAGCACCCGACACUGCUCUGGCUCUCAGCCAUCAGGCAGUGAUACCAUCUGCCAUCUUCACUCCCCAGGCACCUCUGUAACUGCUCCAGGACCCCGACAAGCACAGCCCUCCACUGCCCUCCAUUCAAGGCUAUCCCUCCCUCAUCCAUAAAUUCAUUCAUACAUUCAUCAAAUGUUGACUGUCCCCCUCAUUACACUGGACACCAUUCCAGAUGCAGAGACUGUGUGCCGGCUUUUCUGUUUCCUCUUGCCCCACAGUCCACUCUGCCCUUCUCUGCUCAGAAGGCUGGGCUCUAGAGACUGCAUCACUGGGCUCUCUUCCCCCUGGCUUCCACUUGGGUUCAGCUAAUGGGAGCAAUGGCAGCAAGACCAGAGGGCAGGAGGAGAGACGGAUGGGGGAGUUUAUUCUGAUUCCCCCACUUCGGCAUGUGCAGCCGCCGGCCUCCAAGACAGCCUUGCUGCUCUCGGCUCCUGGCAUCUGUGCCCCUGUGUAAUGUCCUUCCACAUUGUAGCAGGGCUGGUCUAAGUGAGCAACAGAAUCAUUAGAACCAAUAGAAUGGUGGAAAUGAUGGUUUGUGACUUCUGAGACUGGGUCUUAAAAGGUAUUGUGGGGGUUGGGCUCACACCUGCAAUCCUAGUGCUUUGGGAGGCCAAGGGAGGGGGAUUGCUUGAGGCCAGGAGUUUGAGACCAGCCUUGGCAACAUAGUGAGUGCCCCGUCUCUACAAGAAAAAAAAAAACAAAAAAUUAGCUAGGCAUGGUGGUGCCUGCCUGCAGUCCCAGCUACUUGGGAAGGUGAGGUGGGAGGAUCACUUGAGCCUAGUAGUUCCAGGCUGCAGAAAGUUAUGAUCACACCUCUGCACUCCAGCCUGGGCAUCAGAGUGGGACCCUGUCUCAAAACAAACAAACAAACAAAUACAAACAACAACAACAACAAAAAAGCAAGGCCAGGCAUAGUGGCUCACACCUGUAAUCCCAGCACUUUGGAAGGCCAAGGUGGGUGGAUCACCUGAGGUCAGGAGUUUGAGACCAGGCUGGCCAACAUGGUGAAACCCCGUCUCUACUAAAAAUACAAAACAUUAGCCAGUUGUGGUGGCAGGUGCCUGUAAUCCCAAGCUACUUGGGAGGCUGAGGCAGGAGAACCGCUUAAACCCGGGAGGCAGAGGUUGCAGCGAGUCGAGAUUGCGCCAUUGCACUCCAGCCUAGGUGAUACAGCGAGACUCUGUCAAAAGAAAGAAAGAAAGAAAAGAAAGGAAAGAAAGAAAGGCAUUAUGGCUUCUAUAUUAUCACCUGUUGUGGGAUAAGCCAGCUGCCAUGAUGUGAGGACACUCAAGCAGUCCCAUGGAGAGGCUACAGGGCGAGUGUGCCGCCUUGGAAGUAGACCUGCCAACUUCUUUUUUUUUUUGAGACGGAGUUUCGCUCUUGUUGCCCAGGCUGGAGUGCAAUGGCGCGAUCUCAGCUCACGGCAACCUCCGCCUGCCGGGUUCCAGUGAUUCUCCUGCCUCAGCCUCCCGAGUAGCUGGGAUUAUAGGCAUGCGCCACCACGCCCGGCUAAUUUUGUAUUUUUAGUAGAGAUGGGGUUUCUCCAUGUUGGUCAGGCUGGUCUCGAACUUCCAACCUCAGAUGAUCCACCUGCCUCGGCCUCCCAAAGUGCUCGGUGGCCUCCCAAAGGUGUGAGCCACCGAGACUGGCAGACCUGCCAACUUCUGUUAAGCCUUCUGACACCUGCAGCCCUGACCAAUGUCUUGAGAGACCCAAAGCUAAACUACCUACUUAAGCGGCCCCUGCAAACCUGACCUACAGAGACUAUAACAAUAAAUGUCUGUUGUUUUAAGCCACUAAGUUUUGGGGUAGUUUGCUAUAUGGCAAUGGAUAAUGCAGCGUGGCUCUGGACCAGGUGUUCUCACCCUGCCUCUGGCAAUACAGCUUGUCCUCCUGUGAAACAACUUCCUACUACUGCUGUCUUUGGAUGUCUCAAUGUCCCCUGUUGACUUCCUUUAUCCUGUCCUCAACCCUUUACUAAACUCUCUUCAAACUUCACAAUGGAAUAUGUUGCCUGCUUCCUGCCUGGUGCAGGUUGGAAUUAUGAACAAGACAGACACCCUUCCCUUCAGAGUUUAUAUUCUAGUGGGGAAAACAGACAAUAAAUUAGCCAACAAAUAAAUAAGCAAGGUAAUUUCAGAGACCAGUAAGUAAAACAGAGAAACGAAUGGAAAAAUAAAUGGGGCUCGAGACAGGCUGAUCAGGAGCCUACACUAGGCAGGCUUGUCAACGAAGGCCUCUCAGAGGCCGUAGGCUCAGUCUGAACUCAGGAGAAGGCAACUCAGACAGAAGAGGCUGGAGCAGUCAAAGGGAGCAGCGACGUCCCUAAGAUAGGAGAGGGUGUGGAGGUGUCAGGAACAGAGGAGGGAGGCCCACGUGCUAGAGCAGAGCUCGCAGGGUGGCAAGUGGGAGAGGGGAGCUCAAGAGACUCAGGCAAAGCCAGAUGAGGAGUUUGGGUUUUGUUUAAACUACAGCACAGCCCCUCACUAAAGGAUGUUCAGUGAGGUCCGUGUAGUAUCCAAUUUACCUUUGGAACGAGCUCUCCGGUCUUGACACCUCUGCCUAUAAUCUCUAGACCCAUAACGUGGGCUGACAUGAACUUCUCAGAUGCAAAUUGCUCUGACCAGGAUGUCCUGGUCAGCCCUCUGGGGUGGAUGGAGGGGCUGCUCCUACCACCAGCCUGGGGACCUCCCACCCCUGCCUCAUCCAGAGAGCCUCGCUUGCCACAUGGGCACGAAAGGGGCCUUCCAGGUCUCUGGGCUUUAGCAGGGCUCACCCACUCUGGCUGGCUCUGAUUUUGUUUUGAGGAAAACAAAGUCCAGGUGUUGAAGUGGUCUGAGGAAGGUUACACCAUGCAAUGGACUGAAUGUUGGUAUCUCCCCAGAAUUCACGUGUUGAAACCUAAUCCCCAGGGUGAUGGUAUUUAGAGGUGGGGCCUUUGGGAGGUGAUUAGGCCAGGGGGGUGGAGCUCUCACAAUGGGAUUCCUGCUCCUUUGCCCAUUUCCUGCCAUGUGAGGACACAGGAAGGUGACUGUCUGUAACCCAGAAAAAGGUCCUUGCCAGUCACCAACCAGGCUGGCACCCAGAUCUCAGACUUCCAGCCUUCAGAAGUGUGAGAGAUAAAUUUCUACUGUUUGUAAGCCACCCAGUCUACGAUAAUUUGUUACAGCCACCUGAAUGGACCACAACAACCCAGGUAUGCACCCCCUGGCCCCGCCUCUACCCAGAUGGAAAGGGAAGAUCAGAAGGCAGGAGUUCCCGCCCCUCCUCCUGGCCUUGCCUGGUCCUGUCUCACAGGGUCUCACAGUGGCCCUUACCCACUCCCUGGCCUGCCUCUCUCUCUGAGAGGGUGGGUCCUUCUCCCCACACAGGCUGUCCAUGAGGCAACCUGUGAGGGGCAGGUUGGGGAGGGAGGGGAGCUCGGCUGCUCCCACCAGGCCCCUCCUCCUGCCCCCAUGGGCACUGACCACCCAGGGACCACCGGCCUGUGUCCCGCCCGGCUCUGGGUCACUGCAUAGGCCCAAAUCACACCUGUGGUUCUCCUCGGAGGUGUAACCUUGCUCAGAUCACUUGAUUACCUGAAUUUUGUUUUCCUUAACUCAAAGAUGGGCAUAUACAUAGCCCUCCUAUUUCUUUUUUGCUUUUUUGAGAGCCCCAUCGCCUUUCACCCUCUCAUCUGUGAGCAACUCCAUUGCUGCUCUAGGAAAGGCAGAGUCUGGCACCUGGCAAGGCCUCCUCACAGGCCUGACUCCCGUCCCUUCCCACCUCCCUAGGCAGAACCGGGUGGAACUGCAUGAGAAGCGACGGAGGCGCCAGCCCCAGCCAGCUCCCUGUGGCUCCUGGCACCAAUCAGGCCUCGAGGCUUCCUCAACACCAGCUUUCCUUCCCCUCCCAUUGGGCCCUGCAUCCCUGCCUUCUGCAACAUUGUGCUCCUGACCCUGGCUGGCUCCCAGCCCUCCACAGCUGGGCCCCACCUCAGAGCCUUUGCAUCAGGUAGCCCCAGAGUCAGAGAGAAGGCCCCCGACAAAGCCGCAGAUGGAGCUCAGCCCCAGGAAACACCUUUCCAGAGCAAGGCUCCAGCUCACUGUAGGACCACAGUCAAGUCUGUAUCCAGGCCGAGCGACAGCCGAUGCAGCCUCAGUGUUCCUUUGCCUUGGGGGUUUCUGAGUGGUGGGGUUGUAAGCAGAUCCUGCCAGGCACCCAGAAGGAAACCUCAUCAGGACUCCCUCAGAAAGGCCCUGAAGAAUCCUGUGACCUUCAUCUAAAGUAGGUCAUGAGACCCCUGAGCUUAAAACGGAGUGAUCGGCUUUGGAGAAAAAUCCCUGGAAGGCACGCAGGCUGGACAUCAUCAUAUAUUCUCUACAGAUGGAGACACCAAGGCCCACGCCUUCUGUGCUGUUGGAAUUUCAGGAAGGAUGGGGGUGGGGCACGGCCUCAGCCCUGGGCAUGUUCUGCAGAUUGCACUGCUCUUAUCUGCCAGGGGGUGGUGAGAGGGUGGCUGAGCUGGACAGAUGGCGGGCAGGGACGGGCUCUGCGGUCUGGCAGCUGACAUUGAUACAAGCAAAAAAAGAGUCUUUGC